rnacentral:lncRNA from 1 species
GAAAGAGCAUAUUUGUCACUGCAAGUCCCAUCCAAUUACUGUGAAAUGAUUUAUAGAAGCACUCUUGAUUCGUGAGGGCUGACACCUAGCCACUCAACUGCCAUAGAGAGCUUAAAUCUGUUUGGCAAACCUAGGACAAUAUCUAGAAACAUUGCUUAGAUAUAUAAAUCUAUCAAGGAUACUAGGAAUUUACAUUUCUGAAGUCAUAACUUUGAUUUUUUUUUUUUUGCAAUAGAAACUUCUCACCCCUGCUUGCUCUCGUUCACUGAAGUAAAAGUGUCUUAGUAGUUUGUUUUGAAAUGGAAAAAAAGUAUUAAGGAGUUGUUCUCUUCUAUCAUGUUUGCAGUUAUUGCUUGAUGGAUUCUGCUAACUCCCAGGAGAAUCCAAGUGGGAGGACAAGUAGAAGAAAAAAGAGUCCAAAGGCUGGAGCCCUCAGUUUGUUGUUUAUGGAACAUUCCUGCAGUCCCCAGAAGGGGCAUGAAAUUUAAGGUGACCACUGGGCAUUUUAUCAAGAAUUGGAGCUCAGGCUGCUAAGGCAUCAAUUGUAGGACCAGCUGUGUGCCUUUGAACAUGUCACUUAGCCUCUCUGAAUAUCGGAUUUUUCAUCUGUAAAAUGAAGGUAUUUAACAGUUUCAUGUCUAGAGUGUUAUAUGUAAACUUUUUUCUCAACUUGUUAAUUAUCAAACGCAUGGACUCUAUGUAGACUGUUACUCAAAGGCAUCCAAUAAAUGCGUUGCAUGACUCUAUAACACUACACGCCGAUUUUGAGUGCUCACAGUAUGUUGGAUUUUCUGCUCUGUGCUUUACCUAUGGGGUAUCAUUGAAUUCUGUCAGCACGCCUGUGAAUUAGCUGCCCCCAUCAGCUCCAUCUGACCAGGAGAAAACUGAGGGGUUGCCCUAAGAUCACAGAGGGCCAGGAUCUGGGUUUCUGGGCCAGGGGUUCCUCAUUCCAAAGCCCCACCCACUUUCUACUAUAGGACAUCUGUGCAUCCCAGACUUUAGUGUGCAUCAUUGUCAUCUGGAGUUCAACUUCCUAAACCAGAUUGAUGAGACCCAAGCCCACACUUUCCAGUUCAUGCAAGUUCCCAGGUGAUGCCGAUGCUGCUGGUCUGGGGACCACAAUCUGAGAACCACUGCAUUAUGCUAUAAAGAACUACAGUUGCAGGACCAAGACAUAAAGAAUGUAAGAAGCAGAUCUCUAACCAAAUGAAGAAAGAACCUGGACAUUUCGAGCUACUUAAUAGCUGAAUGGGUUGCCUCUUGGGAAUGGCUGAACUGUAAGGGGCAUAUAGACCUUGGGACAUUUGAUGAGAAGUUGGCCUAACGGACCUUGAAGGUGCCUUCUAACUAUUAAACUGUCAUGAGUGCCAAAGACAAGAGACAGAGAGUCUAGGAGGGAGGGUCACACUCCCUAUGCAGAAGGCCCUUCUCAUUACGGCACAAUUCAGUGUUUUAACUGUGCUUUGAAGAUUUUGAGUCACUUUGGUAAUGGCAAUGAAGAAAAGCUGAGAAAAACGUUUCCUCAAUUUAGGUAAUACGGAAUUACAGUUUAAUGAAACACCACACAAGGAACAAGAGAAACUUCAAGACAACAUUCAUUCACUGUAAAUUUAUAUUUCGAAUUUUAAAAUUUCUAUAACGAUAAUAAUAUAAUUUCAAUUUUUAUGUCAUAAUAUAUAAAUCAGAAAAAAGUUAAUUUUAAAAGGCUAACAUGUAAAACUAUUUAAAUUUUUAUUUUAUAAGGACAUAGAGGGAAAGAGUUUAAAGAUCAAAAUUAUUUUGUAAAUAUUUCAAAAUAAAGAUCACAUAUAAGGCAAAUUUAGGAGGAACACUGCUCCAAAUUUACUGUCCAUUCUUUUGACCCCAGGAAGAAAAAAAGAGACGUGUUUAUUUCUAUAGUUUAUCAAAGAAAAGAAAGUGUCUCUUCUGACAUUUAAUUUAGCCUUUUUUUUAAUGUCAUAGGAACCCAGGGAAGGAUGACUCAGACAACUGCAUCAUGGUCCUACUUAAGGAUUUAAGAGGAAUCAACAGAGAACAAAAUUGGUGGUAGUGGUGACAGGGGGUGGCAGAAAGAUAUAAAAAAGAAAUACAUGUGUAAUGAAAUAAUCUGGCAUAAUCAUAAAACAGGAAAAGCCAUCACUUUCGUGGAUGCGCCUGUCUAAGGAAGCGGGAAAGCUCUCUGUUGAAUACUCUUGUUGGUCAUUUGCUGUUAGUUUUGUCUGGUUUGGAUUGGGUUGGAGGUUUUCAAAAAUUAACAGAAGG